rnacentral:tRNA from 1 species
AGCAGGGUGGCCUAGUGGGUAGAGCACCGUCCAGGGAGUCAGAAGGUCCUGGGUUCUAAUCCCGGCUCAGCUA